CCGUUGGAUGAUGAUGAGAUUAUAUCUUACAUCAUAGUUGGACUGGACAUGGAGUACCAGCCGCUGGUGUCGCCGCUCAACGCUCGAACCGAACCGGUCAUGCUAGAUGACCUAUUUGCUUAGAUGAGCAAUUUUGAUC
rfam:Hordeum vulgare subsp. vulgare, WGS project CAJW01000000 data, contig: morex_contig_45630